rnacentral:rRNA from 1 species
GACGAACGCUGGCGGGCGUGCCUAAUACAUGCAAGUCGAGCGAAGUUUUUCUGGUGCUUGCGCUAGAAAAACUUAGCGGCGAACGGGUGAGUAACACGUAAAGAACCUGCCUCAUAGACUGGGACAACUAUUGGAAACGAUAGCUAAUACCGGAUAACAGUAUUUCUCGCAUGAGAGAUAUUUAAAAGUUGGUUAUGCUAACACUAUGAGAUGGCUUUGCGGUGCAUUAGCUAGUUGGUGGGGUAAAGGCCCACCAAGGCGACGAUGCAUAGCCGACCUGAGAGGGUGAUCGGCCACACUGGGACUGAGACACGGCCCAGACUCCUACGGGAGGCAGCAGUAGGGAAUCUUCCGCAAUGGGCGAAAGCCUGACGGAGCAACGCCGCGUGAGUGAAGAAGGAUUUCGGUUCGUAAAGCUCUGUUGUUAGGGAAGAAUGGAUAUGUAGUAACUAUACAUGUACGAGACGGUACCUAACCAGAA